rnacentral:rRNA from 1 species
AGCGGCAGCGCGAGUAGUUUACUACUUGGCGGCGAGCGGCGGACGGCUGAGUAACGCGUGGGAACGUACCCCAAAGUGAGGAAUAACCGCCCGAAAGGGUGGCUAAUGCCGCAUAUGAUCUUCGGAUUAAAGGAUUUAUCCGCUUUGGGAACGGCCUGCGUAUGAUUAGAUAGUUGGUGAGGUAAUGGCUCACCAAGUCAACGAUCAUUAACUGGUCUGAGAGGAUGAUCAGUCAGACUGGAACUGAGAUACGGUCCAGACUCCUACGGGAGGCAGCAGUGAGGAAUCUUCCACAAUGGGCGAAAGCCUGAUGGAGCAACGCCGCGUGCAGGAUGAAGGCCUUCGGGUCGUAAACUGCUUUUAUCUGUGAUGAAUAUGACAGUAACAGAAGAAUAAGCACCGGCUAACUACGUGCCAGCAGCCGCGGUCAUACGUAGGGUGCAAGCAUUAUCCGGAGUGACUGGGCGUAAAGAGUUGCGUAGGUGGUUUGUUAAGUGAAUAGUGAAAUCUGGUGGCUCAACCGCACAGACUAUUAUUCAAACUGGCAAACUCGAGAAUAGCAGAGGUAACUGGAAUUUCUAGUGUAGGAGUGAAAUCCGUAGAUAUUAGAAGGAACACCAAUGGCGUAGGCAGGUUACUGGGCUAUUUCUGACACUGAGGCACGAAAGCGUGGGGAGCGAACCGGAUUAGAUACCCGGGUAGUCCACGCUGUAAACUAUGGAUACUAGCUGUUGGAGGUAUCGACCCCUUCGGUAGCGAAGCUAACGCGUUAAGUAUCCCGCCUGUGGAGUACGGUCGCAAGACUAAAACAUAAAGGAAUUGAC